rnacentral:lncRNA from 1 species
GAAAGGGUAUGAGAGUUCACAUUAGGGAUUGAGGAUUCAAAUGGACACAAAAGAUCUGCCACAACAUGAGUAAAAAAAAAUUGAACAGACUCAACAAUACCCGUCUGUACCUUGAGCUAGGGUUGUCUACAUAAAAGGCUAGGAGUUUCCAAUUUGAUUGGAAAGACUAUGAGAGUUCACAUUAGAGAUUGAGGAUUCGAAUGGACACAAAGUAUCUGCCAAAACAUGAGUCAAGAAAACUAAACUGAUUCAACAAUACCCGUCUGUAGCGUAAGCUAGGGUUGGCAACAUCAAAAGCUAGGAGUGUCCAAUUUGAUUGGAAAAAGUAUGAGAGUUCACGUUAGAGAUUGAGGAUUCGAAUGGAUACAAAAGAUCUGCCAAAACAUGAGUCAAAAAAAUU